CGUGUUCUGUGAGUCCACGUCUGAUUUAUUUAAACAACGAUUCCCAAAAUGGCUAAUAUGACAAACGUAAGGCGUUUUUAUCGACCACUGAUUAGCCAAAGUGAUUUGCAUUCAAACAGAUUUUCAUCUUUAACGUCCAUCUAAUUCAAAUUGGUUACCCUAAUCAACGAAUUUAUCGACACCGAUUUCCGAAGCGAUUACAUCAAAUCGCCAAAUCACUUUUAUCGAUUUGGCAAGUCGAUAAAAAAAAAGUCUGUAGCUUGGUCGCAACUGACGUCAAAAUUUUUGGACCAUUCCCGAAUUUUUGGACAAAACCCAACCCUAACCCUAGCACGCGGUUCGUGUCAGUGUUGCUAAAAAUUAACCAUCAUCUCGUUUAUCAACGCGAGAUUUCGUCAAUUCACCAUGGCCGGUAUUGUGAGGAAUGUCUCCCUUGUGCAAAAUUUGACAAACGCUAUCGAAGAAGAAAUUGACAGUUUUGCUUAUUGAAGUACUAUCUGAUUAGCAUCAUACUUUGCCAGAAAAUCACAGAAUUAGUCUACAUUUACAUUUCAUCAGAUAAAUACAACGAAAAACAAAUCUCGAACUACAAUUUUCCAAAUAAAAAUCUACAAAUACAAAUCUUGCAAAACAUUUCUCUGAAAACAUUUCUCUGAAAACAUUUCUCUGAAAACAUUUCUCCAAAUACAUUUCUCCAAAAACAUUUCUGGACAUUUAUCGAACCGGAACAUUAUGACGACAUGAGCGGAAAUCAAUCUGGCAUACAAUAAGUCACCAUACAAUAAUGGGGAAUCGAGUAUACAUGAAUCACCCUUCUCAAAAAAGGGCGUGUCACUGUUGCAUUGUGGGAGGUCGGUGAACAACCCCACUCGUAGGCGGCCAUUACUUUGCAUUGAACUUCUGACCAAAUUUCGAAAAACGCCGAUUUUACGUUAAUUGUAGUGAUGGGGGAUAUUUCAUAUGAUGUGAUAGAGACAGAGAUGGUUGAUGCACGUAAAGGAUACCCCAGAAAGCACAUUUUGAAGUAUACAGAUCGCAAAAAGUCAGGCGGCGUUUAGACUGUGGAAUUUCUUGUACACGGGAGUCUAAGUGUAGAAGAUAUUUAUACUGUUCUGUGAACUCCGAGUGUACAUGAAGAUUAUACCAGGAUGGUACAGAUUGUAUAAAGGCUGAUGAUACUACUGGUUGUUCUUGUUAUAGAAAGGAUAUUGGUCAAACUGAAUCAUCAACGAUAACGUGUCCGUUGGGAUUUUAUGGUGAAAGCUGCCAACAUGUAAUAAUAGAUUGCAUAGAUGGCACACGACAGACCUUCAAUAUAAGUUCUAAUUUUGCCCUAUUCAACCAAGUGCAACAUUUGAACCAUUUGAAGUUGUAUGUGAUACUAAAUAUGGUGGUGGUACUAUCAUUCUGGAGAGAAGUAUCAGAUGCACUUAUGAAAACUUUAAUCGUUCACUGGAGGAUUAUGAAAAGGGAUUUGGAGAAGUUCCAAAGAAUAGAUGGAUCGGUUUUGAUAAACUCCAGGCGAUCAUUAAUGAAAACUUGGAUUUGAAUUAUUACCUUCACUUCGUCCUUUUCAAUUCAGACUGGAUGGCAUGUCAUCAGUUUUACCAGGGAUUGAAACUCGGAAACAAAUCCUCUGGCUACGCAAUGAUGUUUGAUUACAAUGAGGGCGACUGUGGUGAUUCCAUAACUGGGAGUUGAAAUCUUGAAGGACGGCCAUUCCCCACCUAUGACGCAGAUUACACCGACUAUCGAUGUGCUAAACGAUACAGAGGCGGCCGGUGGUUCGCGAACCAUCCUAACUGUACCAGAAGCUUUCUCACUGGAUCUAUGGCUGACUGGAUAACUAACAAUAUCUGGCUGGAUGAUAAAAACAACAUGGUCAUUACAACAGUGUUAUUAUUUGGACAAAACACGCAAUAAAGCACAUAUAAUGAUGUUUACAUUCGUUGUCCGUCGCCUGUUCGCAUUUUCGACUCCUUUUCGAUAACUGUCUUAUCGAUUUUUAAGCCAGAAUUAUAAGUUUGCAUGUGCGAUUCCUUUGACCCUAAUCUAUUAGUGUAUCUCCACAUUCGACUCCCCCGAAAUAACAUAAUUUCAAAUGCUAGUGCACCUUAAAUGGACAACAUUAUAUAUCUGACGCACUUUCUUCUGCUUCUCUAACGCCUCCCCAUGGAGUUUAAGUAAGUAUGGUGGAUGUUAUUUCAGUCUGAUUUGAUCAUAUUUGAUUCUAUAAGAAAGUAUGGUAAAUCUAUUGUUUGGAUCUGGGUUGAUCGCCUAAAUCUGGGAUGGUUUAAAAAGCGCCUAUGUGGACACUUUUCGACUAAUCGAAAUAUUUUAAACGGAUGUUUGUUAAGCAAGGUUGUUAUUAUAUUGAUAUAACGUUUUUGCUGAUUUAAUACACAAGUCAGACAGUUAAUAUACAUUAUGGACGAAUAAAUAACGAGCUGACAGUUCUCAACAUAAUAAUCAAAAACUAGAUAAUGUAAGGGAAUAUGUCGAAAAUAUCAGUCAAUUUGCUCCACCCUAAAUUGAGAUAUUAGCCGUGGAAUUUUAGGCCUAGCCUCGAUCAUUAUCAUCAUUACUAAAGUCGGUACGAUGAAAAAACAUCAAUGAACGUUGAGCAGAAAAUCGGAUUAAAUUCAGAUAAAAUCCGACACAUCAGAUGACGUCAAAAGUUGAUUAUGGUCUGUUCGUGUUAAUUAAUGUCUAAUUAAUAGUUUAUAUAACAUUUAAGGCCUAAAGAAAGACCUGCAAUAGACAGAUUAGCUCUUGCAUACUGUAUGUUUAAUAUUUAUUUCAGGAGUCAAAUGCAUGUAUCUUGUUAAUUUACAAACUGUUGCUAUUAUAUAAUAAAACACAACUGAA